rnacentral:rRNA from 1 species
AUUGAACGUUGGCGGCAUGCCUAACACAUGCAAGUCGAACGGGGCAGCAAUGCCUAGUGGCGGACGGGUGAGGAAUACGUAGGAAUCUGCCCUUAAGUGGGGGAUAACCAGGGGAAACCCUGACUAAUACCGCAUGAUCUCUUCGGAGCAAAGCGGGGGACGGCAAGGCCUCUGGCUUCUGGAUGAGCUUACGUCUGAUUAGCUAGUUGGUAGGGUAAAGGCCUACCAAGGCGACGAUCAGUAACUGGUCUGAGAGGAUGAUCAGUCACACCGGAACUGAGACACGGUCCGGACUCCUACGGGAGGCAGCAGUGGGGAAUAUUGGACAAUGGGCGCAAGCCUGAUCCAGCAAUGCCGCGUGUGUGAAGAAGGCCUUCGGGUUGUAAAGCACUUUAGCCUGGAAAGAAAAAACUUUGGUUAACACCCAAAGUCUUGACGGUACCAGGAGAAUAAGCACCGGCUAACUCUGUGCCAGCCGCCGCAGUAAGAC